UAAGGAAUAUUGCUCAAUGGGAGAUAUCCUGAAGCAGCAACGCCGCGUGGAGGAUGAAGGGUCUAUGACUUGUAAACUCCUGUAAAGAAGGAAAAAAUUCCCAUUAGAUGGGAGAUGAUGGUACUUCUGGAGUAAGCCCCGGCUAACUACGUGCCAGCAGCCGCGGUAAUACGUAGGGGGCAAGCGUUGUCCGGAUUUACUGGGUGUAAAGGGUGCUCAGGCGGAUUUGUAAGUCAGAGGUGAAAUCUUACAGCUUAACUGUGAAACUGCCUUUGAUACUGCAAGCCUAGAGUAUGGAAGAGAGUGAUGGAAUAUCUGGUGUAGCAGUGAAAUGCGUAUAUAUCAGAUAGAACACCAAUGGCGAAGGCAGUCACUUGGUCCAUUACUGACGCUAAAGCACGAAAGCGUGGGUAGCAAAC
rnacentral:rRNA from 1 species